rnacentral:rRNA from 1 species
GAUGGACGCUGGCGGCGUGCCUAAUACAUGCAAGUCGAGCGAACAGACGAGGAGCUUGCUCCUCUGACGUUAGCGGCGGACGGGUGAGUAACACGUAGAUAACCUACCUAUAAGACUGGGAUAACUUCGGGAAACCGGAGCUAAUACCGGAUAAUAUAUUGAACCGCAUGGUUCAAUAGUGAAAGACGGUUUUGCUGUCACUUAUAGAUGGAUCCGCGCCGCAUUAGCUAGUUGGUAAGGUAACGGCUUACCAAGGCAACGAUGCGUAGCCGACCUGAGAGGAUGAUCGGCCACACUGGAACUGAGACACGGUCCAGACUCCUACGGGAGGCAGCAGUAGGGAAUCUUCCGCAAUGGGCGAAAGCCUGACGGAGCAACGCCGCGUGAGUGAUGAAGGUCUUCGGAUCGUAAAACUCUGUUAUUAGGGAAGAACAAAUGUGUAAGUAACUAUGCACGUCUUGACGGUACCUAAUCAGAAAGCCACGGCUAACUACGUG